rnacentral:rRNA from 1 species
AGAGUUUGAUCCUGGCUCAGAUUGAACGCUGGCGGCAUGCCUUACACAUGCAAGUCGAACGGUAACAGGGAGCUUGCUCCGCUGACGAGUGGCGAACGGGUGAGUAAUAUAUCGGAACGUACCAUUCAGUGGGGGAUAACGUAGCGAAAGUUACGCUAAUACCGCAUAUUCUGUGAGCAGGAAAGCAGGGGAUCGCAAGACCUUGCGCUGAUUGAGCGGCCGAUAUCAGAUUAGCUUGUUGGUGAGGUAAAAGCUCACCAAGGCGACGACGGGUAGCCGGCCUGAGAGGGUGACCGGCCACACUGGGACUGAGACACGGCCCAGACUCCUACGGGAGGCAGCAGUGGGGAAUAUUGCACAAUGGGCGCAAGCCUGAUGCAGCGACGCCGCGUGAGGGAUGACGGCCUUCGGGUUGUAAACCUCUUUCAGUAGGGAAGAAGCGAAAGUGACGGUACCUGCAGAAGAAGCGCCGGCUAACUACGUGCCAGCAGCCGCGGUAAUACGUAGGGCGCAAGCGUUAUCCGGAAUUAUUGGGCGUAAAGAGCUCGUAGGCGGUUUGUCGCGUCUGCCGUGAAAGUCCGGGGCUCAACUCCGGAUCUGCGGUGGGUACGGGCAGACUAGAGUGAUGUAGGGGAGACUGGAAUUCCUGGUGUAGCGGUGAAAUGCGCAGAUAUCAGGAGGAACACCGAUGGCGAAGGCAGGUCUCUGGGCAUUAACUGACGCUGAGGAGCGAAAGCAUGGGGAGCGAACAGGAUUAGAUACCCUGGUAGUCC